GCUUAUUUUAAAUUUGUUUUAAUUAAUAAUCAUAAUAAUACUGUUGUUCCUGAACUAUAUUUCUAAGUCUUUGCCGUGGGACAGCUGUGAUGAAAUAUUCCACAUAUACUUCAAACCUAAAAUGUUCAAAAUUGGACUUCAUGUUGGUCUGCAACUCCACUACUUCUUUUUUCAUUUUUAUUCUCUCAGUUAAUGGUGCUAAAGGGCAAUCAGAAUAUGCCACGCCAAAAUAUGGCACUUCAGCAUGACCGUUAUUUUCAGCUGAAGACCAUUGAGAAUCAACAGCUUCAGGAAGAAUUCUCUAGAACUCCCCUUAUCUGCUUAAAAGCAGUGCAUGAAUUUCCCUUUGUGAAGGUUUCUGCCCCCACCCCCAACUCCUGUAUCAGGAAGAAGAGAGGGACUCUUAUCACUGGUGAUAGUCAACACCCAGAAGCGUUUGCAUAAACAGAUCAACCACAACAACCCUUAUCUUCUAUCAGUUUCCCCAUGUAUUUCCAAGUCACUUCCCCACACUGUGUCAUCCCUUGAAGCCCAAGCCCCUUCCCCUUUGUUACAAUGAUGCACAAACCUUGAGUCUAACUGCUUCUUUGUGUCUUACUUCUUUUUGGUGAAUUCCUGUGCAUGUAAAUAUUAAUAAAAAUAGUGUGUCUUUUCUCCUGUUAA